AGAAUCAACGCUGGCGGCGUGCCUAACACAUGCAAGUCGAGCGCGAAAGGGGAGCAAUCCCCAAGUAGAGCGGCGAACGGGUGAGUAACGCGUGGGUAAUCUGCCUCCGAGUGGGGAACAACAUCGGGAAACUGGUGCUAAUACCGCAUAACAUCGUCGGGUUUUCGGAUCUGACGAUCAAAGCCGGGGACCGCAAGGCCUGGCGCUUGGAGAGGAGCCCGCGUCCGAUUAGCUAGUUGGUGGGGUAAUGGCCUACCAAGGCUUCGAUCGGU
rnacentral:rRNA from 1 species